rnacentral:tRNA from 2 species
GACGCUACGGACUAAAAUCCGUUGGCUUUAUAGACCAUGAGGGUUCAAGUCCCUCUACCCCCA